rnacentral:misc_RNA from 1 species
UUAAGUUCAGCGGGUAUUCCUACCUGAUCCGAGGUCAAACUUCAGAGAGUUGGGGGUUUAACGGCGUGGCCGAGCCGCGCUCCGGUGCGAGGUUUCAAGAGCUACUACGCAGAGGAGGCUGCGGCAGGACCGCCACUGUAUUUAGGGGGCGGCGACCCGCGGAGGGGCGGGGCCGGUCCCCAACGCCAGGCCCCCGAGAG